rnacentral:rRNA from 1 species
CAGUCGCCACGGGAAAACAGAGGGUGCAAGCGUUAAUCGGAAUUACUGGGCGUAAAGCGCGCGUAGGUGGUUUGUUAAGUUGGAUGUGAAAUCCCCGGGCUCAACCUGGGAACUGCAUCCAAAACUGGCAAGCUAGAGUAUGGUAGAGGGUGGUGGAAUUUCCUGUGUAGCGGUGAAAUGCGUAGAUAUAGGAAGGAACACCAGUGGCGAAGGCGACCACCUGGACUGAUACUGACACUGAGGUGCGAAAGCGUGGGGAGCAAACAGGAUUAGAGACCCCCGUAGUCCCUGUCUCUUAUAC